rnacentral:rRNA from 1 species
AACGAACGCUGGCGGCAUGCCUAACACAUGCAAGUCGAACGAACUCUUCGGAUUUAGUGGCGGACGGGUGAGUAACACGUGGGAACGUGCCUUUAGGUUCGGAAUAACUCAGGGAAACUUGUGCUAAUACCGAAUGUUCCCUUCGGGGGAAAGAUUUAUCGCCUUUGGAUCGGCCCGCGUCGGAUUAGCUAGUUGGUGAGGUAAAGGCCCACCAAGGCGACGAUCAGUAGCUGGUCUGAGAGGAUGAUCAGCCACAGUGGGACUGAGACACGGCCCAAACUCCUACGGGAGGCAGCAGUGGGGAAUAUUGCGCAAUGGGCGAAAGCCUGACGCAGCAAUGCCGCGUGAAUGAUGAAGGCCUUAGGAUUGUAAAAUUCUUUCACCGGGGACGAUAAUGACGGUACCCGGAGAAGAAGCCCCGGCUAACUUCGUG